GCUGGCGGCGUGCCUAAUACAUGCAAGUCGAGCGGACAGAUGGGAGCUUGCUCCCUGAUGUUAGCGGCGGACGGGUGAGUAACACGUGGGUAACCUGCCUGUAAGACUGGGAUAACUCCGGGAAACCGGGGCUAAUACCGSAUGSUUGUUUGAACCGCAUGGUUCAGACAUAAAAGGUGGCUUCGGCUACCACUUACAGAUGGACCCGCGGCGCAUUAGCUAGUUGGUGAGGUAACGGCUCACCAAGGCAACGAUGCGUAGCCGACCUGAGAGGGUGAUCGGCCMCACUGGGAYUGAGACACGRCCCAGACUCCUACGGGAGGCAGCAGUAGGGAAUCWUCCGCAAUGGACGAAAGUCUGASGGAGCAACGCCSCGUGAGUGAYGAAGGUUUUCGGAUCGUAAAGCUCUGUUGUUAGGGAAGAACAASUSCCGUUCAAAUAGGGCGGCACCUUGACGGUACCUAACCAGAAAGCCACGGCUAACYACGUGCCAGCAGCCGCGGUAAUACGUAGGUGGCAAGCGUUGUCCGGAAUUAUUGGGCGUAAAGGGCUCGCAGRCGGUUUCUURAGUMUGAUGUGAAASCCCCCGGCUCAACCGGGGAGGGUCAUUGGAAACUGGGGAACUUGAGUGCAGAAGAGGAGAGUGGAAUUCCACGSGUAGCGGU
rnacentral:rRNA from 1 species